rnacentral:rRNA from 2 species
CUGGAGGUAUCAGAAGUGCGAAUGCUGACAUAAGUAACGAUAAAGCGGGUGAAAAGCCCGCUCGCCGGAAGACCAAGGGUUCCUGUCCAACGUUAAUCGGGGCAGGGUGAGUCGACCCCUAAGGCGAGGCCGAAAGGCGUAGUCGAUGGGAAACGGGUUAAUAUUCCCGUACUUGGUGUUACUGCGAAGGGGGGACGGAGAAGGCUAUGUUGGCCGGGCGACGGUUGUCCCGGUUUAAGCGUGUAGGUGUGUGUUCCAGGUAAAUCCGGUUCACUUUAACACUGAGGCGUGAUGACGAGGCACUACGGUGCUGAAGCAACAAAUGCCCUG